UACGGAGGGGGCUAGCGUUGUUCGGAGUUACUGGGCGUAAAGCGCACGUAGGCGGCUUUGCAAGUUAGAGGUGAAAGCCCGGGGCUCAACUCCGGAAUUGCCUUUAAAACUGCAUCGCUAGAAUUGUGGAGAGGUAAGUGGAAUUCCGAGUGUAGAGGUGAAAUUCGUAGAUAUUCGGAAGAACACCAGUGGCGAAGGCGACUUACUGGACACAUAUUGACGCUGAGGUGCGAAAGCGUGGGGAGCAAACAGG
rnacentral:rRNA from 1 species